rnacentral:rRNA from 1 species
CAGUCGCCGCGGUAACACGGAGGGUGCAAGCGUUAUCCGGAUUCACUGGGUUUAAAGGGUGCGUAGGUGGGCAGGUAAGUCAGUGGUGAAAUCUCCGGGCUUAACCCGGAAACUGCCGUUGAUACUAUCUGUCUUGAAUAUAGUGGAGGUGAGCGGAAUAUGUCAUGUAGCGGUGAAAUGCUUAGAUAUGACAUAGAACACCAAUUGCGAAGGCAGCUCGCUACACUAUCAUUGACACUGAGGCACGAAAGCGUGGGGAUCAAACAGGAUUAGAUACCCCCGUAGUCCCUGUCUCUUAUAC